rnacentral:rRNA from 1 species
GACGAACGCUGGCGGCGUGCUUAGCACAUGCAAGUCGAACGAUGAAGCCUAGCUUGCUGGGUGGAUUAGUGGCGAACGGGUGAGUAACACGUGAGUAACCUGCCCUGGACUCUGGGAUAAGCGUUGGAAACGACGUCUAAUACCGGAUAGGACCUUUCACCGCAUGGUGGGGGGUGGAAAGUUUUUUCGGUUUGGGAUGGACUCGCGGCCUAUCAGCUUGUCGGUGAGGUAAUGGCUCACCAAGGCGUCGACGGGUAGCCGGCCUGAGAGGGGGACCGGCCACACUGGGACUGAGACACGGCCCAGACUCCUACGGGAGGCAGCAGUGGGGAAUAUUGCACAAUGGGCGCAAGCCUGAUGCAGCAACGCCGCGUGCGGGAUGACGGCCUUCGGGUUGUAAACCGCUUUUAGUAAGGAAGAAGCCUUCGGGUGACGGUACUUGCAGAAAAAGGACCGGCUAACUACGUGCCAGCAGCCGCGGUAAAAC